rnacentral:rRNA from 1 species
CAGUCGCCGCGGGAAAACGAAGGGUGCAAGCGUUACUCGGAAUUACUGGGCGUAAAGCGUGCGUAGGUGGUGGUUUAAGUCCGUUGUGAAAGCCCUGGGCUCAACCUGGGAAUUGCAGUGGAUACUGGGUCACUAGAGUGUGGUAGAGGAUAGCGGAAUUUCCGGUGUAGCAGUGAAAUGCGUAGAGAUCGGAAGGAACAUCUGUGGCGAAGGCGACUAUCUGGGCCAACACUGACACUGAGGCACGAAGGCGUGGGGAGCAAACAGGAUUAGAUACCCCUGUAGUCCCUGUCUCUUAUAC